GCUCCCUGGGAUAGCUCAAUUGGUAGAGCAUGAGGCAUUUAAUCUCAGGGUCAUGGGUUGAAGGCCCAUGUCGGGCA